AACCGCUAUUCCGGGACCCUUACCGCUACGACCUAUGACUGGAUGUCCCGCUGUCUAAAUAACAGUGGUUAGCAAGGGCCGGGCAAGACCGGUGCCAGCCGCCGCGGUAACACCGGCGGCCCGAGUGGUAGCCGUUAUUAUUGGGUUUAAAGGGUCCGUAGCCGGCUUAUUAAGUCUCUUGGGAAAUCUGGCGACUUAAUCGUCAGGCGUCCAAGAGAUACUGAUAGGCUUGGGACCGGGAGAGGUGGGAGGUACUCCAGGGGUAGGGGUGAAAUCUCGUAAUCCUUGGGGGACCACCGAUGGCGAAGGCAUCCCACCAGAACGGGUCCGACGGUGAGGGACGAAAGCUGGGGGCACGAACCGGAUUAGAUACCCGGGUAGUCCCAGCUGUAAACGAUGCUCGCUAGGUGUCAGAUGCGGUGCGACCGCAUCUGGUGCCGCAGUGAAAACUUGAAGCGAGUCACCUGGGAAGUACGGUCGCAAGGCUGAAAACUUAAAGGAAUUGGCG
rnacentral:rRNA from 1 species